ensembl:ncRNA lncRNA:CR45534 long non-coding RNA:CR45534
AUGCGAAUGGAAAUGGGAAUGGACAUGAAAAUGAAAAUGAAAACGAAACGAAAACGACCUCCGGGGUGCAUUUGCCAGCCAAACUAAGUGACCGGGACCCUAUAGGACGACCCGAUUGAAAAGAAACUAUAACGAGACAAACAAUAAGUUGGGCAAAGGAAAAGGUUAACACUCCAAACCCCAUGCCCAUAGCCCCUCCCCCCACUCUAUUAUGGUAUUGAUAGCUAAGCAUACGUAUGUUAGUUUGUUCUGUGUAAACCGGAGACAAAAAAUGGACAAAGAGUUAAGGCCAAGGCAAAGUGACAAUAACAAGCGCAAAAUGGACACCACUACUGGCUGAUGAUGAUGAUGAUGUUGACAAUGGACCGGGAUCGAGGACUUUCUGCUCCUUGGGACAACUUGACAUCCGGCAUAAAUGUCAAACGCUAACUUUGGCCGCAAAUCUAGAUGCUUGGGUCAAUGCGUCGAGAAGAAAGGACAACCGAUGACCACCAGCACAGCAGCAGGGCAAAUAUAUUCAUGACGAUUUUCGAGACAGGACCUGCACAAGUCCAUCAGUUGCUAGAUAUAUAUAUAUAUAUAUAAAUAUAUGUAUAUGUGUACACCCAACACAUUUAAGGCAAAUCUCGCAUCCGCAUCCAAUUCCCAUACCCAUCCCAAAUCCAACCAAGUGCGUCGCUUAAUUACAAAACGAACAACGCAUAAAAACCAACAGAAACAGGGUUCGUCGAUGGGCCACCUCCUACAUUACCCCCAAGGAAGGACACUAUUGUCUAACGGGACUC